CAGACAGACACACACACACACACACACACACACACACACACACACACACACACACACACAAACAAGGACAUGAGACAGACCGCAGGUGAGGGAGCAGAAGGUGGUUAUAUAAACAGACAGGCAGGUAAAAUGGAGGUUGUGUGUGUGUGUGUGUGUGUGUGUGUGUGUGUGUGUGUGUGUGUGUGUGUGUGUGUGUGUGUGUGUGUGUGUGUGUGUGUGUGGGGGGGGGGAUUACAGGAGUAGAAAGGUGAGAGGGUGGGAGGCCGGUGGAAGGCCGAGGGGGGCGAUAUAGGAGAAGAUGGAGGAUAAAGUUUGGAUGUAACAGGAGACGGAGGAGGAGACAAUGUCGGCAGCUGAAAGGUCAGGCAAGAGGAGUCUGUGAAGAUGGUGGGCUGGAGAGGAGAGGAGACAGGAGGGGAGGAGAGGAGACAGGAGAGGAGAGGAGACAGGAGGUGAGGAGGAGACAGGAGGGAGAGGAGAGGAGACAGGAGGGAGAGGGAGGAGACAGGAGGGAGAGGAGAGGAGACAGGAGGGAGAGGAGAGGAGACAGGAGGGAGAGGAGAGGAGACAGGAGGGAGAGGAGAGGAGACAGGAGGAGAGGAGAGGAGGAGACAGGAGGGA
ensembl:lncRNA